rnacentral:tRNA from 2 species
GCUCCCGUAGUUCAACGGAUAGAACAAGGGUUUCCUAAACCUUAGAUAUGGGUUCGAUUCCCGUCGGGAGUA